rnacentral:rRNA from 1 species
CCCGCCGCGCGCGGCGGGCGGGGCGGGGGCACGGGGGGCCUACGGGAGGCAGCAGUGAGGAAUAUUGGUCAAUGGGCGAGAGCCUGAACCAGCCAAGUAGCGUGCAGGAUGACGGCCCUAUGGGUUGUAAACUGCUUUUAUACGGGGAUAAAGUGAGGGACGUGUCCCUUUUUGUAGGUACCGUAUGAAUAAGGACCGGCUAAUUCCGUGCCAGCAGCCGCGGUAAUAAU